AGUGAACGCUGGCGGUAGGCCUAACACAUGCAAGUCGAACGGCAGCACAGUAAGAGCGUGCGCUUACGGGGGGCGAGUGGCGGACGUGUGAGGAGUACAUCGUAAUCUACUUUUUCGGGUGGGAUAACGAAGGGGAACUUACUCUAAUACAGGAUACGCUCUACGGGGGAAGGCAGGGGAUCGUCGGGCCUUGCGCGAAUGGAUGCGCGGCUGUUGGGCUAGCUAGUUGGCGGGGGAAAGGCCCACCAAGGGGGGGAUCGGUGGCUGGGGUGGGAGGGUGGGCAGCGCCACUGGGACUGAGACACGGUCCAGACUCCUACGGGCGGCAGAGGUGGCGACUGUUGGACAAUGGGCGGAAGCCUGAUCCAGCCGUACCGCGUGGGUGAAGAAGGCCUUCGGGUUGUAAAGCCCUUUUGUUGGGGAAGGAAGGCAGCAGGUUAAUCCCAGGCUGUUCUGCCGGUACCGAAAGAGUAAGCCCCGGCUAACUUCGUG
rnacentral:rRNA from 1 species